rnacentral:rRNA from 1 species
GAUAAGGAGCUUGCUCCUUUGACGUUAGCGGCGGACGGGUGAGUAACACGUGGGUAACCUACCUAUAAGACUGGGAUAACUUCGGGAAACCGGAGCUAAUACCGGAUAAUAUUUCGAACCGCAUGGUUCGAUAGUGAAAGAUGGUUUUGCUAUCACUUAUAGAUGGACCCGCGCCGUAUUAGCUAGUUGGUAAGGUAACGGCUUACCAAGGCGACGAUACGUAGCCGACCUGAGAGGGUGAUCGGCCACACUGGAACUGAGACACGGUCCAGACUCCUACGGGAGGCAGCAGUAGGGAAUCUUCCGCAAUGGGCGAAAGCCUGACGGAGCAACGCCGCGUGAGUGAUGAAGGUCUUCGGAUCGUAAAACUCUGUUAUUAGGGAAGAACAUACGUGUAAGUAACUGUGCACGUCUUGACGGUACCUAAUCAGAAAGCCACGGCUAACUACGUGCCAGCAGCCGCGGUAAUACGUAGGUGGCAAGCGUUAUCCGGAAUUAUUGGGCGUAAAGCGCGCGUAGGCGGUUUUUUAAGUCUGAUGUGAAAGCCCACGGCUCAACCGUGGAGGGUCAUUGGAAACUGGAAAACUUGAGUGCAGAAGAGGAAAGUGGAAUUCCAUGUGUAGCGGUGAAAUGCGCAGAGAUAUGGAGGAACACCAGUGGCGAAGGCGACUUUCUGGUCUGUAACUGACGCUGAUGUGCGAAAGCGUGGGGAUCAAACAGGAUUAGAUACCCUGGUAGUCCACGCCGUAAACGAUGAGUGCUAAGUGUUAGGGGGUUUCCGCCCCUUAGUGCUGCAGCUAACGCAUUAAGCACUCCGCCUGGGGAGUACGACCGCAAGGUUGAAACUCAAAGGAAUUGACGGGGACCCGCACAAGCGGUGGAGCAUGUGGUUUAAUUCCAAGCAACGCCGAAAACCU